CCUACGGGUGGCAGCAGUGAGGAAUAUUGGUCAAUGGCCGGAAGGCUGAACCAGCCAAGCCGCGUGAAGGACGAAGGUGCCAAGCAUUGUAAACUUCUUUAGUCAAGGGACAAAAUCAGGCUCGAGAGCCUGACCGAGGGUACUUGAAGAAAAAGCAUCGGCUAACUCCGUGCCAGCAGCCGCGGUAAUACGGAGGAUGCGAGCGUUAUCCGGAUUUAUUGGGUUUAAAGGGUGCGUAGGCGGACUGUUAAGUCAGCGGUAAAAGCCCGGGGCUCAACCCCGGCGAGCCGUUGAAACUGGGGAUCUAGAGUGUGCGAGAGGUAUGCGGAAUGCGUGGUGUAGCGGUGAAAUGCAUAGAUAUCACGCAGAACCCCGAUUGCGAAGGCAGCAUACCGGUGCACAACUGACGCUCAGGCACGAAAGCGUGGGUAUCGAACAGGAUUAGAUACCCGUGUAGUC
rnacentral:rRNA from 1 species